CAUUCUCACUGCUCAAUUCUCUGCAGUUUAGGAGUUAAAUCCCCUUUUUUGUCCAUGCAGCCCUAGCCACACACCAUGCAUGAAAGAAAAAUGUUUUCACUUUCAAUUAGAUGUAACUGACUUUAAAUGUUCUUAUUGCCUGCUCUCUAAAGUGAACUUUAAUCAUACACAGGAGCCUUCUGAGGGGUCUAGCAAGCAAUCAAC